UUAUUUUAUUCUGCCUUUACGUCAACAAUGGCCAGUGAAAACAACUUGGGAGUAAUAAUGAAGAUGGUCAGCGAGCCGAAAGUGUUCCCAGCAAAGCAGCCCUCUGAUCCAUAUACUUCAGCUACAUCUUACAUCACCAAGAAUGAUCCUGAGAGGAAAAUAAAGAUACUCAAGAGAAUGUGUGAGGCAUAUUAUGACUUAGUAGUAUAGAAGAACAAAAACUAGCAAAGCACACUGAAGGUAAUUUUAAAAUGU
rnacentral:lncRNA from 1 species